AGUUGUGGAGAACUUAUAUUAGACACGAGAUCAUACAAGAAUCGAGACCUUGUCUGUUUAUUACAUCCUCUGUCUUGUUCCUAAGAAGAUCAAAGGGCAUCUUGCCACGGGUACGUACUUGUGGCGCCGUGCGAGGUAACAUCAUCGAUCGGUGCCCUCCGAUGCUCCUCCGUUGGUUGGUCACGAACGAGCUGAGCGAGGUCACGAAAUGAUCCCCAUUUCCAGUUUUGUAGGGCCUCAUUAAACAAACUCUAAAAGAAGAGGAUGCAACAUCCUCCUGUUCAGCUGAACAACCACGGGCGGACAGGAGAUGCGAUUUCGAGAAUGGCACAUGCAGGUGAGUGCGUGUGCUGUCUUCUCAGUGCCUGUGGGCUGCUUGGGCGGUGUCCUGGUGCAAGCUCUUCAAUUCCUAAGAUCAUUUCCUUUCCUUCUUGGUAGGUGCUCGUGAACAAACUCCGAAAGAGAAGAUGCGAUGCCCCUCUUUUGCUCAAUCAUAGAUAGGACAUGUACAAUGCAACAUAUAAUCAUAAUACGUAACCGUAGAAAUAAAAUGAAGUUGAUGAUGGUGCGUUGAUAUAGUUUUCUUUGUACAAGAUGAUGCCGGUGCCUAUAUAACUUGGCGGUGGUUGUUAGCAAGGAAGUCGUAAUCUGCUACCCCUUCUUCCGCGGGCAAGUUAAGAUCAAAUGCAUGAUCUACUUCAUCUGUUCGAACAAAGGAUGAUGGAGGAUAAACAUAGUGAAUGAAAGAUGCGCAAGAGAUUUUUUUUUUAAAAAAAGAAGAGACUAAACACUGACCUUCUUCCAUCUCUUCCUGAAACAAUGGUUCAUCCAAAUCAAAGACAUCUUCUGCGAUAGCAUCCCAGUCCACUGGAGCAUUAGGAUCAAUUGGAUCAUCCUCGACAGGCUCAUUGAGGUCACAAACAAAACCUAUGUUUGGCUCUACCAUUG
rnacentral:lncRNA from 1 species